ensembl:lncRNA
AAACGCACAUAGUACUAAUAGUGAGAAACGUGAAGCUAGCGAAGUCAGCGGGCAUUGUGAGGUGCAUCCCAGGGGCCAGAGCGGGCGACAUAGAAUCAAAUCUAAAGUUGCUGGCAAAGAGUAAUCGUAAGUUUGAUAGGAUAGUCCUCCAUGUCGGCACUAAUGACUCCCGACGUCGCCAGUCGGAAGCAACCAAAGUGAACAUUGAAUCAGUUUGUGCUUAUGCUAAAACAAUGUCGGACUCCGUAAUUUUCUCUGGUCCCUUACCAAAUCUGACCAGUGAUGACAUGUAUAGCCGCAUGUCAUCAUUUAACCGCUGGCUAUCGAGGUGGUGUCCAGAAAACGAGGUGGGCUUCAUUGAUAAUUGGAGAUCCUUCUGGGGAAAACCGAACCUGAUAGGAAGAGAUGGAAUCCAUCCUACUUUGGAGGGAGCAUCUCUACUAUCAGAAAACAUGGCACAUUUAUGACAUCUCAUGAAUGAGACCAUGUUACAGAGGGGGAGUCCUCCACGCCCCUCUGCGCUUGCCUUAGGACAGUUUCCCUCCCAUUGCUAUCAUGAUAGCUGUGUUCAUCGCCAUGACAACUGUUGUGAUGGUGAUGAAUAUUAUUUUAUGGAGACGGUGUCUGUCCCCCGACCCAUAUUUCACAAUGAUUUUAACAUAAAAUCAAAUAAAAGAGCUAUCAAUUAUAAAAAUCUGAAAAAAAUUAAAAUCUCAAAUCUAGAAACACCAAAACAUAAAACCAUUAGAUGUGCUCUAUUAAAUAUUAGAUCACUGAGAUCCAAAUCUCUACUAGUAAAUGACCUUAUCUCAGAAAAUAACUUUGAUUUAUUCUGUUUAACUGAAACAUGGCUGUAUCAAGAUGAAUAUGUUAGUUUAAAUGAAGCCACUCCUCCCAGUCAUUUAAAUACUCAUAUGCCACGAGACAUAGGCCGUGGAGGUGGUGUAGCAGCUAUUUAUCAUUCCUCUCUCCUAAUCUAUCCUAAACCAAAGGCCAGUUACACUUCCUUUGAAAGCCUGGUUCUAAAUUUAUCUCAUAUCGAAUCAAAAACCUGCCAGCCAGUCUUAUUUGCGAUAAUUUACCGUCCUCCAGGCCCUUAUUCUGAAUUUCUAUCAGAAUUCUCUGAGUUUAUAUCAAACUUAGUCCUCAGUUCUGAUAAAAUACUGAUAGUAGGAGAUUUUAAUAUCCAUGUGGACAAAGAUAGUGAUAGCCUGAGCUCAGCCUUUAUGUCCCUAAUAGACUCAGUUGGCUUUUUUCAAACUAUUAAUGAAGCUACUCAUCGUUUAAAUCAUACUCUUGAUCUUGUUCUAACAUAUGGCCUUGAUAUUAAUGAACUAAAAGUCUACCCUGAAAAUCCUCUGCUAUCAGAUCACUUUUUAAUAUCUUUUAACAUUAUCCUAGAGGAUCUCGCACUGUGCAAUAAAAUAGUUACGAGUAGAAAUCUGUCCAACAGUGCUGUGGCUAAAUUUAAAGAGGCCAUUCCUGCUGCCUUACACUCAGUGCACCAUCCAAUAAAUAACUAUGACAUUAAUUAUAACCCCUCUCAACUGGAUCUGCUUGUCGAUAGCUCUGCUAGUCUACUAAAAUCCACCUUGGACUCAAUUGCCCCAUUGAGGGAAAAAACUAUUAAACGUCAGAGGAAAGCUCCGUGGUUUAGCUCUGAAACUCACACACUCAAACAAACAACCCGUAAAUUAGAGAGAAUGUGGCGCUCCAAUAAAACAGAGGAGUCACGAAUACUUUGGCAAGAAAGCCAUAGUAAAUACAUGACAG